rnacentral:rRNA from 1 species
GACGAACCGAGCGAACGUUAUUCGGAAUCACUGGGCUUAAAGGGCGCGUAGGCGGGCGAUCAAGUCAGGGGUGAAAGCCCCCAGCUCAACUGGGGAAGUGCCUCUGAUACUGGUCAUCUCGAGGGAGGUAGGGGCGUGCGGAACUUCCGGUGGAGCGGUGAAAUGCGUAGAUAUCGCUUGGAACGCCAACGGUGAAAACAGGUUGCUGGGGGUGUGCUGACGCUGAGACACGAAAGCCAGGGGAGCGAACGGG